rnacentral:rRNA from 1 species
GCAGAAUUCGGCAAGGUUCGGAUUGUUCACCCGCAAGCAGGGAACGUGAGCUGGGUUUAGACCGUCGUGAGACAGGUUAGUUUUACCCUACUGACUACAAUAACAAUAUAUAUAUUUUUGUUAAAAUAAUGGUUUUAGUAAUACAACCAAGUACGAGAGGAACCGUUGUUUCAGAUAUUUGGUUUCACCAUUAGUUGAUCAACUAUUGUGGUUAUGCUAUCAUCUGUUAGAUAAAGGCUGAACGCCUCUAAGCCCGAAUCUAUGCUAUAUCUUUUGCUCCAUUAUAAUUUAUUACUUAAAUUUUAUCUCUUUCAUUAAAAAUUUGGUUUUAUUAUUUAUUCUUAUAAAAAACAAUUUAAUUUAGUUUUUUCUAAUUAUUGUAUUAUUUUUUGUUGUUUAAUA